UUAAAGAAAUGUGAAUUGCCAGUUUGAUUUUUUGCUUGUUGUUUGUUGCAAUCUGGAUAUUCUUCUCUGACUCAAGCAGCAAUCAUCGUUGAUCUUGGACUCUCAGUGUGAGAGUAUUCUCUUUUUGGUUCUUUAUCAAAUGUGGGUGCCAUGGUGGGGGCUAUAGCCAGUGGUCAGAUUUCUGAGUAUAUUGGGCGCAAAGGGUCUUUAAUGAUCGCCACCAUUCCUAAUGUCAUCGGCUAGCUUGCCAUAUCAUUUGCCAAACUGCUUUGUUUCUUCCGCAAUUUUUAGCUGGUGCCGAAUACGGAUUUGGUCAAAGGUCCUCAGCCCAUGGAAGUAGCUCAAGUGGAGCCGGCGAGUACAGUUGAUAAUCAGCCAGUGGAGGAGCCUCCAACAAUGAAAUUCACUUGGACAAUUGAGAGCUUUUCUAGGUUGCACACCAAAAAGCACUACUCUGACAUGUUCAUCGUCG